rnacentral:snRNA from 1 species
GGAUGUGAGGGCGAUCUGGCUGCGACAUCUGUCACCCCAUUGAUCGCCAGUGUUGAUUCGGCUGAUCUGGCUGGCUAGGCGGGUGUCCCCCUCCUCCCUCACCGAUCCAUGUGCGUCCCUCCCGAAGCUGCGAGCUUGGUCAAAGAGGACGACCUUCCCCCCCGAGGAGAGGACCGGUCUUCGGUCAAGGGUAUAUGAGUAGCUGCGCUCCCCUGCUAGAACCUCCAAACAAGCUCUCAAAUUAAGGGGGGAAAAGCUCAAAAAAAGGAGAAA